UACGGAGGAUGCAAGCGUUAUCCGGAAUGAUUGGGCGUAAAGCGUCCGCAGGUGGCUGUGUAAGUCUGCUGUUAAAGAGUGAGGCUCAACCUCAUAAAAGCAGUGGAAACUACACGGCUAGAGUGCGUUCGGGGCAGAGGGAAUUCCUGGUGUAGCGGUGAAAUGCGUAGAUAUCAGGAAGAACACCGGUGGCGAAGGCGCUCUGCUAGGCCGUAACUGACACUGAGGGACGAAAGCUAGGGGAGCGAAUGGG
rnacentral:rRNA from 1 species